rnacentral:rRNA from 1 species
AGCGUACACGGUGGAUGCCCUGGCAGUCAGAGGCGAUGAAGGACGUGCUAAUCUGCGAUAAGCGUCGGUAAGGUGAUAUGAACCGUUAUAACCGGCGAUUUCCGAAUGGGGAAACCCAGUGUGUUUCGACACACUAUCAUUAACUGAAUCCAUAGGUUAAUGAGGCGAACCGGGGGAACUGAAACAUCUAAGUACCCCGAGGAAAAGAAAUCAACCGAGAUUCCCCCAGUAGCGGCGAGCGAACGGGGAGCAGCCCAGAGCCUGAAUCAGUAUGUGUGUUAGUGGAAGCGUCUGGAAAGGCGCGCGAUACAGGGUGACAGCCCCGUACACAAAAAUGCACAUAUUGUGAGCUCGAUGAGUAGGGCGGGACACGUGGUAUCCUGUCUGAAUAUGGGGGGACCAUCCUCCAAGGCUAAAUACUCCUGACUGACCGAUAGUGAACCAGUACCGUGAGGGAAAGGCGAAAAGAACCCCGGCGAGGGGAGUGAAAAAGAACCUGAAACCGUGUACGUACAAGCAGUGGGAGCACGCUUAGGCGUGUGACUGCGUACCUUUUGUAUAAUGGGUCAGCGACUUAUAUUCUGUAGCAAGGUUAACCGAAUAGGGGAGCCGAAGGGAAACCGAGUCUUAACUGGGCGUUAAGUUGCAGGGUAUAGACCCGAAACCCGGUGAUCUAGCCAUGGGCAGGUUGAAGGUUGGGUAACACUAACUGGAGGACCGAACCGACUAAUGUUGAAAAAUUAGCGGAUGACUUGUGGCUGGGGGUGAAAGGCCAAUCAAACCGGGAGAUAGCUGGUUCUCCCCGAAAGCUAUUUAGGUAGCGCCUCGUGAAUUCAUCUCCGGGGGUAGAGCACUGUUUCGGCAAGGGGGUCAUCCCGACUUACCAACCCGAUGCAAACUGCGAAUACCGGAGAAUGUUAUCACGGGAGACACACGGCGGGUGCUAACGUCCGUCGUGAAGAGGGAAACAACCCAGACCGCCAGCUAAGGUCCCAAAGUCAUGGUUAAGUGGGAAACGAUGUGGGAAGGCCCAGACAGCCAGGAUGUUGGCUUAGAAGCAGCCAUCAUUUAAAGAAAGCGUAAUAGCUCACUGGUCGAGUCGGCCUGCGCGGAAGAUGUAACGGGGCUAAACCAUGCACCGAAGCUGCGGCAGCGACACUAUGUGUUGUUGGGUAGGGGAGCGUUCUGUAAGCCUGUGAAGGUGUGCUGUGAGGCAUGCUGGAGGUAUCAGAAGUGCGAAUGCUGACAUAAGUAACGAUAAAGCGGGUGAAAAGCCCGCUCGCCGGAAGACCAAGGGUUCCUGUCCAACGUUAAUCGGGGCAGGGUGAGUCGACCCCUAAGGCGAGGCCGAAAGGCGUAGUCGAUGGGAAACAGGUUAAUAUUCCUGUACUUGGUGUUACUGCGAAGGGGGGACGGAGAAGGCUAUGUUGGCCGGGCGACGGUUGUCCCGGUUUAAGCGUGUAGGCUGGUUUUCCAGGCAAAUCCGGAAAAUCAAGGCUGAGGCGUGAUGACGAGGCACUACGGUGCUGAAGCAACAAAUGCCCUGCUUCCAGGAAAAGCCUCUAAGCAUCAGGUAACAUCAAAUCGUACCCCAAACCGACACAGGUGGUCAGGUAGAGAAUACCAAGGCGCUUGAGAGAACUCGGGUGAAGGAACUAGGCAAAAUGGUGCCGUAACUUCGGGAGAAGGCACGCUGAUAUGUAGGUGAAGUCCCUCGCGGAUGGAGCUGAAAUCAGUCGAAGAUACCAGCUGGCUGCAACUGUUUAUUAAAAACACAGCACUGUGCAAACACGAAAGUGGACGUAUACGGUGUGACGCCUGCCCGGUGCCGGAAGGUUAAUUGAUGGGGUUAGCCGCAAGGCGAAGCUCUUGAUCGAAGCCCCGGUAAACGGCGGCCGUAACUAUAACGGUCCUAAGGUAGCGAAAUUCCUUGUCGGGUAAGUUCCGACCUGCACGAAUGGCGUAAUGAUGGCCAGGCUGUCUCCACCCGAGACUCAGUGAAAUUGAACUCGCUGUGAAGAUGCAGUGUACCCGCGGCAAGACGGAAAGACCCCGUGAACCUUUACUAUAGCUUGACACUGAACAUUGAGCCUUGAUGUGUAGGAUAGGUGGGAGGCUUAGAAGUGUGGACGCCAGUCUGCAUGGAGCCGACCUUGAAAUACCACCCUUUAAUGUUUGAUGUUCUAACGUUGACCCGUAAUCCGGGUUGCGGACAGUGUCUGGUGGGUAGUUUGACUGGGGCGGUCUCCUCCUAAAGAGUAACGGAGGAGCACGAAGGUUGGCUAAUCCUGGUCGGACAUCAGGAGGUUAGUGCAAUGGCAUAAGCCAGCUUGACUGCGAGCGUGACGGCGCGAGCAGGUGCGAAAGCAGGUCAUAGUGAUCCGGUGGUUCUGAAUGGAAGGGCCAUCGCUCAACGGAUAAAAGGUACUCCGGGGAUAACAGGCUGAUACCGCCCAAGAGUUCAUAUCGACGGCGGUGUUUGGCACCUCGAUGUCGGCUCAUCACAUCCUGGGGCUGAAGUAGGUCCCAAGGGUAUGGCUGUUCGCCAUUUAAAGUGGUACGCGAGCUGGGUUUAGAACGUCGUGAGACAGUUCGGUCCCUAUCUGCCGUGGGCGCUGGAGAACUGAGGGGGGCUGCUCCUAGUACGAGAGGACCGGAGUGGACGCAUCACUGGUGUUCGGGUUGUCAUGCCAAUGGCACUGCCCGGUAGCUAAAUGCGGAAGAGAUAAGUGCUGAAAGCAUCUAAGCACGAAACUUGCCCCGAGAUGAGUUCU